rnacentral:rRNA from 1 species
UGGCUAAUUAAGUCAAAUGUGAAAUCCCCGGGCUCAACCUGGGAACUGCAUUCGAAACUGGCAGGCUUGAGUCUUGUAGAGGGGGGUAGAAUUCCAGGUGUAGCGGUGAAAUGCGUAGAGAUCUGGAGGAAUACCGGUGGCGAAGGCGGCCCCCUGGACAAAGACUGACGCUCAGGUGCGAAAGCGUGGGGAGCAAACAGG